rnacentral:rRNA from 1 species
UACGGAGGGUGCAAGCGUUAUCCGGAUUCACUGGGUUUAAAGGGUGCGUAGGCGGGCAGGUAAGUCAGUGGUGAAAUCUUCGAGCUUAACUCGGAAACUGCCUUUGAUACUAUCUGUCUUGAAUAUGGUGGAGGUAAGCGGAAUAUGUCAUGUAGCGGUGAAAUGCUUAGAUAUGACAUAGAACACCUAUUGCGAAGGCAGCUUACUACGCCUAUAUUGACGCUGAGGCACGAAAGCGUGGGGAUCAAACAGG